rnacentral:misc_RNA from 1 species
GGUUAAAUGAACAGAAUAAACGGGGGCUCUUCGCAUGAAAUACAGAUGAGUGUCAACUCCUGCUAUUUCCUAGCUCUUUAUAUCCAAAAUUUCACUUCUCAAUCCUCGGAAGUCCAUACCCACUCCCGUGAAUGAAAAAUCCAGCCAAACGUUUCCCAAAAUGGCCUCUCAUGAAACAAUACCAAUUCAAAAUUCAUCAUCCUUUCUUUCUACCAGCACUAUUGUCGCCCUCUGCGUCUUCUUUGCUCUCCUCUGUGCUUGUAUCGUCAUAGGUCACCUCCUUGAAGAGAACCGCUGGGCUAAUGAGUCUAUCACUGCCCUUCUUUUGGGGUUGUGUGCUGGUGCCAUCGUUUUGCUUAUUGAAAAAGGGCAGGAUUCGCGGUUAUUAGCGUUCAGUGAGGAUUUGUUCUUCCUUUAUUUGCUUCCUCCUAUCAUUUUCAAUGCUGGGUAUGAUCUCUUUCAACCUUAACUCGAACUUUGGCUGUUGCUUCAAAGUUUGUUGAGGUUGGAGUUUUAGUUCUGGAAUUUGAGAUUUUCUUUUGUUGCUGACAUUUUUUUUUACUUGAUUUGGAGUUUGCUCAUAUAGAAGUUGAAUAGUGAAAUUAUUUUGUGAAAGGAUAUAUAGAUCUCAAUUUUCGUCUUGAAUUUGAAUUCUUGGUCUCAUCAUUUGUGAAAGACAAUUUGGUCUGAUAUGGUUGAUUUAUUGUCCCAGAGAAAAUUUUGGAAGUUUAUGUUACUUUCCUCUCUUUCUUUGGUUUACUGAACUAAGUACUAUCAAUCCAAGGCUGGUGUGUUCUUGGUUACUGAUUCUUAGUUUCCAAAUUUGGCUCCAGAUUCCAGGUCAAGAAAAAGCAAUUCUUCAAGAAUUUCACUACAAUUUUGUUGUUUGGAAUACUUGGCACAGUCAUUUCGUUCUGCCUCAUAUCACUAGGUGCCUUUCUGCUUUUUAAGAGAAUUGGUCUUACCACUCUUACUCUGCAACAAUUCCUAGCUAUUGGUGCCAUAUUGUCAGCAACUGACUCAGUUUGCACGUUGCAGGUAUAUCUAAAAAAGUUAAAUCUUAGUACAGCAAUGGGUUUAUAUGGAAUAAUUAACUAAAGAUAUUAAUGCUUGAUAUUUUCCUUGUGCUAAAGGUUCUGAGUCAAGAUGAAACACCCUUUCUGUACAGCAUAGUGUUUGGGGAGGGAGUAGUGAAUGAUGCUACAUCUAUUGUGCUUUACAAUGCUGUCCAAUCAUUGAAUUUCAACAACAUUGAUGCCACAAUAACCUUAAAAUUGCUUGGGAACUUUCUUUAUCUCUUCUUCACCAGCACUGCUCUUGGUGUAGUAGUAAGUCAUGCAGUCAUUCUGCUUUUAUUAACUUGUUUUCACUAAAAUGGAUUACGAAGAGCAUUUCUGACAAAUAUGUUAAUGUUAGAAAGGAAUCCUUAUGUGCUACUUAAAACUACAGUUAUGUUGCUUUUCCUCAGAUUUACAGACAGUAGCUUCUUGGCUUGUGUUUGGUUUGGCUCCCUAGAUUGAUAGAUACUGUUUGUCGGUUGUGUCUAACUUUCCCUAUUUCAAUGUCUCAGGUGAGUCUGCUAAGUGCUUUUGUCAUAAAAACACUAUACUUUGGAAGGUAAGAAGGAUUACUCUUCACUUAUUUCUUUGAGCAUUUAUUGCAGCAUGGGCUCUUUUUAUUUUUCUCAUUUUUCUGUUUUCCAGAGCAUUUUUUCACUGAGAUGUCUCCAUCUAAGGUAAAGUCAAUAUUCACACUGUCAAAAUGAAGUUCAGAUAAAAUAAGUUGGACCCUUGUAGGGAAAGAGUUGGGUUGCCACUUGCCAAUAGAUUGAAAUCAAUGAAGGUUCAUAUAAAAUGAAAGCAAAAUUAAUGGUUCAAGAAGAAAGUCUGUGUUUCAGAUGCUAUUUUUGAAUCAAUGACAGGUUUUUCAUAGUCACUUGACCUUUCCAACUUAGGUUUGUGAUGCCUAUCAUUUAGCACAAAACAUGGUUCUAAACUUAGCCGAAUGAUUAUGACAUGUAGAGCUAUUUUCAUCUAAAAAUUGGCCUGCUGCAAUUGAGAAGGCUCUAUAAUUACUCAAAUCUUGAAUAAUAUAAAAAUUCAACUUUGGAAAGGUUCAUAAUCUAACUUUUAGUUGUGUUCAUGUUGGUCUUUGUCUUUUGCAUCCUGACAUUUUUUUUUCCUCAUAAGCAGGCAUUCCACUGAUCGUGAAGUUGCACUUAUGAUGCUUAUGGCUUAUUUAUCAUACCUGCUGGCUGAGCUUUUAAAUCUCAGUGGGAUUUUGACAGUU